rnacentral:lncRNA from 1 species
GCAUAAAAGAGUGAAAAUGAGCGGUUUGGGAUCGAUUGCGGGUCGGGUUUUUGAUUUGAAACUGGUUCGGGUUUAACUAGUUGUCAAUCUGGGUAUGGAAGAUGGGUUGUUGAUAGUUUGCAAGUAUGGUUGUUGGUGGAUGCAGGUCGAGUUUGAAUCUUUAGGGUUGUUGAGAUCGUUGAUGUGUUAGUGUUGAUCGAUGUUGAAAUUGUUGGAAUUGUAUGCUUUAAGUUGUUGUACUAGUUUGCUGAAGAAAAUAGAAGAGAUAGGUGGGCUGGGUCGGUGACUUUGGAUUGGACUAAUAUAUAGUUGGGCCGAAAUUGGCUGGGUACAAUUUUUUGGGCUGGUUCCCAUUUUAAUUAAAAGGGGUUGUUGAAACUAAAGGAGAAAUGAGUAAAUUAGGCUAUUUUGGUUAUUUAUUAAAUAGCAAUAACUAGCCAAAAGGAAAGUUUAGACAAUUGUAUUUAAAAUUUAGCCUAUUUAAAAUUCAAUUGAUCAAUUGCAUUGCAAUUACGGUCGAAUUAAUUUCAAUUAAGGUCUAAAUUUAAUAAAUUGACUCAAUUAAAUCAAAAUUUGAUAUGAAUUAACACCUUGUUUAAUCCCGAGCUUCUUAAUUUAAUAAAAUCAAAUGCAUAUUUAUCUAAAUAAAUUAUUUUGAUAAUAAAUUAUAUUACAAUCAAGAUUUUAAUCAUUAUAUUUAUUUUCAAAAUAAUCCUUGAUUAAAAUUCAAUAUUCCAUAGAAUAAAUAUUUAAAUAAUCAAAUUAUAUAAUCUCGUAUAACUGAACACGAUAUUAUAUAAUCGCUGCUUAAAAUGAUCAAAUUACGUACAAAAAAUAUUUUGAAAUUUUUUUUAUUCGGAUGAAAUAAAUAUUUCAAUUUUAUUAAAAAUCGAAGAAACUCUGCUCUAAAGAGGGCUAUUUAUAGAAAAAUGAAAGAAUCCCAUCCCCUUGGAGCUCACCGAUGUGGGAAAAAUUCAAAUAGGGGUAAUUUCGAGAUUUUAAAAUAGAGAUCUUCUGAAAUUUGAAAUUGGAAUCCUUCUACAACUUGUAUUUUUCAUCCACAACCAGUGCAAAUUUUAGAUUUUUUUCAUGAAAUCCAAAUUGGCCAACAAAUAGAAGUUAAGGGAUGUAAUUUUCCUCACGAACUAAUGAAAAUCGGGCAAGUAUGUACGAUUUCGUACCAUUCAACCUGAAAUUCUCGGCAUCUAGCCGUUAGGGGUGACACCUAGGCACUUCUAGAAAAUUCUUGAACUUUCCUCAUACCCAAUAUCGUGUGACGCAUAAAAGAGUGAAAAUGAGCGGUUUGGGAUCGAUUGCGGGUCGGGUUUUUGAUUUGAAACUGGUUCGGGUUUAACUAGUUGUCAAUCUGGGUAUGGAAGAUGGGUUGUUGAUAGUUUGCAAGUAUGGUUGUUGGUGGAUGCAGGUCGAGUUUGAAUCUUUAGGGUUGUUGAGAUCGUUGAUGUGUUAGUGUUGAUCGAUGUUGAAAUUGUUGGAAUUGUAUGCUUUAAGUUGUUGUACUAGUUUGCUGAAGAAAAUAGAAG